UGCUCUGUCAGUACAGAGCCUGAUGUGGGGCUCAAACUCACAAACUGUGAGAUCAUAACCUGAACUGAAAUCAAGAGCCAGAUGCUUAACCGACUGAGCCACCCAGGCACCCUCUCUCAAAUAUCCUAUUUCACUGUACUCACUCUUCUUCUGCUUGUGAGGAGAUGAUAAAAUGCCUAUAUGACAAGACAAAAAGGUGGAUGACAUAAGCAUGUGACAUAGCAUUAGGCUACUACUGACCUUUGGACCAUUCCUCAGGAGGAUCACCUGCUUCCAGACUGCAACUAAAUAAAUAACUCCACGAUGGGGACUGGUUGCCAAAAAAAACCAAACCUUAAUUAGAAGCCUCGGACUUUCAGCCCCACCCCACAACCUCUGGAGGAGGAGAGAGGAACUGAAGAUUAAAUUAAUGAUCAAUCAUGCCUAUGUGAUGAAACCGCCAUAAAAAAUCCUAAACGAUGGGUUUAGAGAACUUCUGAAUUGGUAAACACAUUAAGGUGCUGGGAGGGUGGUGUGCCCAGACAGAGUAUGAAAGCUCUGCAUGCAUUCAUCCUUCCUUGCCCUAUAUCUUUCUUCCAUUUCACUGUUUCUGAGUUGUAUCCUUUAUAAUGAACUGACAAUAUCAAGCAAAACGCCUUCUGGAGUCUGUGAGCCAUUCUAGCAAAUUAUCAACCUGAGGAAGGGGUCAUGGAAACUCCUAAUUUAUAGCCAGAUGGUCAGAGGUAUGGGUGGCCCAAGACUUAAAACUGGCAACUGAAGUGGGGCAGUCUUAUGAACCUGAGCCCUUUAACUUGGAUAACUUAGGAUAACUUAGGUAGGUAGUGUAAGAAAGGAAUUGAACUGAAUUGGAGCAUACUCAGUUGUUACUGAGAGUUGGAGAAGUGAUUACUGGGAAACACCCAGGCCACCUAGUGUGCUUUGCCCAAUGAGACAUUAGAGAACGUGACAUAAGCAGAGGUUUAAGAAGCACUUGCACAGUGGGACUUGCCUUCUAGCGCUACCCUGAAACUGAAACAAGCCCAUGGUGACAGGGGUGCCUGGCUGACUCAGUCAGUAGAGCAUGCAACUUUUGAUUUCAGGGUCGUAAGUUCAAGCCCCACAUUGGGCACAGAACUCCCUAGGGGUUGGGGAGGGGGAGAGAAGAAGAGGAAGGGAAAGGGGAGGAGGAGAAGUCAUCGCCCACGGAGAUACAAGGCCCAACUAACAACCUGUACCAACUCUCACAGUGAGAGUUAGGCCAUCUUAGCACACCUCGCCUUAGUUGAGCCACCAGAUGACUACAGCAACAUGAGUAACUCCACUGGAAUUACUGAGACCAGAAGAACUGUAUGGCUAAACGGAGUUCAAAUUGUUGACUCACAGAUUCAAAAGUAAAUAAAAUGGCUGUUGUUUUAAGCUGUAGUUUGUUCAGAGCAA